AGAGUUUGAUCCUGGCUCAGGACGAACGCUGGCGGCGCGCCUAACACAUGCAAGUCGAACGGAGCUAUGUUGAAAGCUUGCUGGAUAUAUAGCUUAGUGGCGGACGGGUGAGUAACACGUGAGCAACCUGCCUUUCAGAGUGGAAUAACGUUUGGAAACGAACGCUAAUACCGCAUAAUGUCAGAGGACGGCAUCGUUCUUUGACCAAAGAUUUAUCGCUGAAAGAUGGGCUCGCGGCCGAUUAGGUAGUUGGUGAGAUAAUAGCCCACCAAGCCGACGAUCGGUAGCCGGACUGAGAGGUUGAACGGCCACAUUGGGACUGAGACACGGCCCAGACUCCUACGGGAGGCAGCAGUGGGGGAUAUUGCACAAUGGGGGAAACCCUGAUGCAGCGACGCCGCGUGGAGGAAGAAGGUUUUCGGAUUGUAAACUCCUGUCGUUAGGGACGAUAAUGACGGUACCUAACAAGAAAGCACCGGCUAACUACGUGCCAGCAGCCGCGGUAAAACGUAGGGUGCAAGCGUUGUCCGGAAUUACUGGGUGUAAAGGGAGCGCAGGCGGACCGGCAAGUUGGAAGUGAAAACUAUGGGCUCAACCCAUAAAUUGCUUUCAAAACUGCUGGCCUUGAGUAGUGCAGAGGUAGGUGGAAUUCCCGGUGUAGCGGUGGAAUGCGUAGAUAUCGGGAGGAACACCAGUGGCGAAGGCGACCUACUGGGCACCAACUGACGCUGAGGCUCGAAAGCAUGGGUAGCAAACAGGAUUAGAUACCCUGGUAGUCCAUGCCGUAAACGAUGAUUACUAGGUGUUGGAGGAUUGACCCCUUCAGUGCCGCAGUUAACACAAUAAGUAAUCCACCUGGGGAGUACGACCGCAAGGUUGAAACUCAAAGGAAUUGACGGGGGCCCGCACAAGCAGUGGAGUAUGUGGUUUAAUUCGACGCAACGCGAAGAACCUUACCAAGUCUUGACAUCCCUUGACAGACAUAGAAAUAUGUUUUCUCUUCGGAGCAAGGAGACAGGUGGUGCAUGGUUGUCGUCAGCUCGUGUCGUGAGAUGUUGGGUUAAGUCCCGCAACGAGCGCAACCCUUAUUGCCAGUUACUACGCAAGAGGACUCUGGCGAGACUGCCGUUGACAAAACGGAGGAAGGUGGGGAUGACGUCAAAUCAUCAUGCCCUUUAUGACCUGGGCUACACACGUACUACAAUGGCGUUUAACAAAGAGAAGCAAGACCGCGAGGUGGAGCAAAACUCAAAAACAACGUCUCAGUUCAGAUUGCAGGCUGCAACUCGCCUGCAUGAAGUCGGAAUUGCUAGU
rnacentral:rRNA from 1 species